rnacentral:rRNA from 1 species
AGGACGACGCUGGCGGCGUGCUUAACACAUGCAAGUCGAACGGAAAGGCCCUGCUUUGUGGGGUGCUCGAGUGGCGAACGGGUGAGUAACACGUGAGUAACCUGCCCUUGACUUUGGGAUAACUUCAGGGAAACUGGGGCUAAUACCGGAUAGGAGCUCCUGCUGCAUGGUGGGGGUUGGAAAGUUUCGGCGGUUGGGGAUGGACUCGCGGCUUAUCAGCUUGUUGGUGGGGUAGUGGCUUACCAAGGCUUUGACGGGUAGCCGGCCUGAGAGGGUGACCGGCCACAUUGGGACUGAGAUACGGCCCAGACUCCUACGGGAGGCAGCAGUGGGGAAUAUUGCACAAUGGGCGGAAGCCUGAUUGCAGCCAACGCCGCGUGCGGGAUGACGGCCUUCGGGUUGUAAACCGCUUUCGCCUGUGACGAAGCGUGAGUGACGGUAAUGGGUAAAGAAGCUACCGGCUAACUACGGUGCCAGCAGCAGC